GGAGAGGUGGCUCAGCGGUUAAGAGCACUGACUGCUCUUCCAGAGGAUCUGAGUUCAAUUCCCAGCAACUACA
rnacentral:tRNA from 1 species